rnacentral:misc_RNA from 1 species
AUUUACCAUGCAAGAAGUGUAACCAACAUCAGAGAUGAGAAAAUCGUUCCGAAAAAGAAUCGGCAAAGACGCAGUCUGGCUCAGUCUUCAAACAGAAGACAAACUUAAGUAGAAAAUAUAUUCCAAUUAUUCUGAAUUUUUGAAAAAGCAAAGUUGGUUUGUUCUUUUCUAAAGUCACUGCUUAUCUAUGAAUUCUAUAAUUCGACAAAGGCUCUUUCAGCAGAUAGUUUCGCUAGCUAAGAUUUCAGGCAGAAAUUAUUACAUCCCUAGGAGGGCCCUGCUAUACGUACCAGGAGACGAUCCCAAAAAAAUAUCCAAAUCGUUUACGUUAGAUGCUGAUUGCAUUGCCUUGGAUUGCGAAGAUGGUGUUGCCAUUAAUAGGAAAGAAAAUGCUCGUGAAACAAUCAGGUCUUUCUUAGAUAAAGGCAAACCAACACUUUCUCGAGAUUACGAUCUUGGCGUUCGAAUUAACAGUUUGGAAACGCCUUAUUGGCAAGAAGAUCUGAAGGCCUGCCUUACCGCGAAAUUUCUGCCAGAUACUAUUUUAGUACCAAAAAUUGAAACAGACGAAACAGUUAGACUUUUUUCAGAUGAGCUGGGCAAGUAUAUAGGAACGAACCAAAUACUAAAUCUGAUCAUUUACAUUGAGUCGGCCAAGGCAUUUAUUAAUCUUGUAGAUAUUUGUAAAACUACUGAAUCCCUCUCAAAAACUGGAAAUUUUAGGCCAGUCUGUUUGGUAUUUGGAAGCGACGAUUUUUGUGCAAACAUAGGAAUCACUAGAACUGAGGAUGCAAAUGAAGUUUUAUAUGCCAGGCAAAAGUUGGUCUUAGUAGCUAAAGCCUUCCACUUGCAGGCCAUAGACAUGGUUUACAUUAAGUAUAAAGAUUUGGAAGGAUUAAAAAUGCAAUGCCAACAAGGAAUGAGAAUGGGAUACACAGGAAAACAAGUCAUUCAUCCAGGUCAAGUCUCAGUUGUACAAGACGCGUUUCUUCCUUCUCCUAGUCAAAUUGAAUGGGCGCUUGGACUACUGAAGUCUUUUGAGGAGCACCAGAAGCAAGGAAAGGGUGCUUUCACAUAUAAAGGCAACAUGAUUGACAUGCCCACAAUGAAACAGGCUGAAAAUACAGCAAAACUUGCGAGAUUGAAGACUUCUUAGUGUCCAUAGUCUCAUAUUUAAAAAAGGAGCGUAUACAUUGAUACAUGUAGGUUUAAUAGAGAAUGCACUUCGCCCAAUAUCUAAAAAAUGAGUCAUUCGGGCCGAUAGUCAAUGGAAAUACGGACGUUUUUAAUUUAAUGUGUGUGUUUUACGCGUGUUUUAGAGUAAACUGCUUAUUGAACUUCUAAAAUAUAGUGCCCAGGGGAUGAAGCUAAAAUCUUCCAG